AUUGCAAUAUUAAAUGAAUGAUUUAUCUCAAUACACCCACGUAUGUAUGUAUCUACAUUUGAAAUUCAGCAGCAUCCGGCGUUUCAGCAAAAUGCCAAUAAUAAAUGCUUCACCAAAAUAAGUACAGCAGCAUUGGUAACAUCAACCAUGUCAGCGGCAGCGAAGAGGCCAUAGCAGCAGCCAGAGCCAUAACGAUAGCGACAGCAACAACCACAGACAGAUAUGAGCACCUUGACCUCUCUGCCGCUGGAGUCAAUGGGGCGUUUUUCUUUCAAAUUUAAUUGAACUGAAAAAUGAGCGUCACGGCCGUGGAACAUGGAACGUGGAACGGCUGUUGUAGUAUCUGCUGUCCGUUGAUGAUGCUAAACUUGUUGGCUGUUUGGAAAAUGCAAAAAUUGUUUUCUAAUUUGCGGUUGAGGUUAAUCCUCAGAUCAGUCGGGAAUAGAGCAUUGCAGGAAUCUCAAAGAGAUAUCAAAAUUUAAAUAGACACAAAUAUUUAAUAAAUCAUAUCAUGUCAUACUGAAA